CUCCUACGGGAGGCAGCAGUGGGGAAUUUUGGACAAUGGGGGCAACCCUGAUCCAGCCAUGCCGCGUGCGGGAAGAAGGCCUUCGGGUUGUAAACCGCUUUUAGUCGGGAAGAAAAGGCCAGGCCCAAUACGUCUGGUUCUUGACGGUACCGGCGGAAUAAGCACCGGCUAACUACGUGCCAGCAGCCGCGGUAAUACGUAGGGUGCGAGCGUUAAUCGGAAUUACUGGGCGUAAAGCGUGCGCAGGCGGUUCGUUAAGUCUGAUGUGAAAGCCCCGGGCUCAACCUGGGAAUGGCAUUGGAAACUGGCGGGCUGGAGUGUGGCAGAGGGGGGUGGAAUUCCGCGUGUAGCAGUGAAAUGCGUAGAGAUGCGGAGGAACACCGAUGGCGAAGGCAGCCCCCUGGGCUGACACUGACGCUCAGGCACGAAAGCGUGGGGAGCAAACAGGAUUAGAUACCCUGGUAGUCCACGCCCUAAACGAUGAUCACUGGGUGUUCGGGGAGCGAUCUCUGAGUACCGUAGCUAACGCGUGAAG
rnacentral:rRNA from 1 species